rnacentral:rRNA from 1 species
GGCGAACGCUGGCGGCAGGCCUAACACAUGCAAGUCGAACGCCCCGCAAGGGGAGUGGCAGACGGGUGAGUAACGCGUGGGAACAUACCCUUCGGUUCGGAAUAACUCAGGGAAACUUGGGCUAAUACCGGAUACGUCCGUGAGGAGAAAGAUUUAUCGCCGAAGGAUUGGCCCGCGUAAGAUUAGCUAGUUGGUGAGGUAACGGCUCACCAAGGCUAUGAUCUUAGCUGGUCUGAGAGGACGAUCAGCCACACUGGGAC